rnacentral:rRNA from 1 species
CUACGGGUGGCUGCAGUGAGGAAUAUUGGGCAAUGGGCGAAAGCCUGACCCAGCCAUGCCGCGUGAAGGAUGACUGCCCUAUGGGUUGUAAACUUCUUUUGUAAGGGAAGAAUGAUUCCUACGUGUAGGAAUGUGACGGUACCUUAUGAAUAAGCACCGGCUAACUCCGUGCCAGCAGCCGCGGUAAUACGGAGGGUGCAAGCGUUAUCCGGAUUUAUUGGGUUUAAAGGGUGCGUAGGCGGAAUUUUAAGUCAGUGGUGAAAUCCUGCAGCUCAACUGUAGAACUGCCAUUGAUACUGAUCUUCUUGAAUUUAGUUGAGGUGGGCGGAACGUGUAAUGUAGCGGUGAAAUGCUUAGAUAUUACACAGAACACCGAUUGCGAAGGCAGCUCACUAAACUAACAUUGACGCUGAGGCACGAAAGCGUGGGUAGCGAACAGGAUUAGAUACCCGUGUAGUC